rnacentral:rRNA from 1 species
UACGUAGGGUCCGAGCGUUGUCCGGAAUUACUGGGCGUAAAGAGCUCGUAGGUGGUUUGUCGCGUUGUUCGUGAAAACUCACAGCUCAACUGUGGGCGUGCGGGCGAUACGGGCAGACUUGAGUACUGCAGGGGAGACUGGAAUUCCUGGUGUAGCGGUGGAAUGCGCAGAUAUCAGGAGGAACACCGGUGGCGAAGGCGGUUCUCUGGGCAUUACCUGACGCUGAGGAGCGAAAGCAUGGGGAGCGAACAGG